rnacentral:rRNA from 1 species
AACGCGUGAAGGCGAGCACUCUAGCGAACUGCCGUUGACAAAACGGAGGAAGUGGGGAUGAACGUCAAAUCAUCGUGCCCCUUAUGUUCUGGGCUACACACGUGCUACAAUGGCCGGUACAGACGGACGCAAAGCCGCGAGGUGGAGCAAAUCCUAAAAAGCCGGUCUCAGUUCGGAUUGCAGGCUGCAAUUCGCCUGCAUGAAGUCGGAAUCGCUAGUAAUCGCAGGUCAGCAUACUGCGGUGAAUACGUUCCCGGGCCUU